UACGUAGGUGGCAAGCGUUGUCCGGAUUUACUGGGCGUAAAGAGCGCGCAGGCGGUCGAUUUAGUCGCGUGUGAAAGCCCCCGGCUCAACUGGGGAGGGUCACGCGAUACUGAUCGACUCGAAGGCAGGAGAGGGUAGUGGAAUUCCCGGUGUAGUGGUGAAAUGCGUAGAUAUCGGGAGGAACACCAGUGGCGAAGGCGACUACCUGGCCUGUUCUGACGCUGAGGCGCGAAAGCUAGGGGAGCAAACGG
rnacentral:rRNA from 1 species